rnacentral:rRNA from 1 species
GACGAACGCUGGCGGCGUGCUUAACACAUGCAAGUCGAACGAUGAAGCCCAGCUUGCUAGGUGGGUUAGUGGCGAACGGGUGAGUAAUACGUGAGUAACCUACCUUUAACUCUGGGAUAAGCCCGGGAAACUGGGUCUAAUACCGGAUACGACCAAUCUCCGCAUGGGGUGUUGGUGGAAAGCGUUAUGUAGUGGUUAUAGAUGGGCUCACGGCCUAUCAGCUUGUUGGUGAGGUAACGGCUCACCAAGGCGACGACGGGUAGCCGGCCUGAGAGGGUGACCGGCCACACUGGGACUGAGACACGGCCCAGACUCCUACGGGAGGCAGCAGUGGGGAAUAUUGCACAAUGGGCGCAAGCCUGAUGCAGCGACGCCGCGUGAGGGAUGACGGCCUUCGGGUUGUAAACCUCUGUUAGCAGGGAAGAAGAGAGAUUGACGGUACCUGCAGAGAAAGCGCCGGCUAACUACGUG